GUACCAUCUACAUCCCAGAAGAUCGCAACCUUGGAUGACGACCUGCAUUUGACUCUGUGCAGUAGUCCUACAGCUAGGGCUAUAGAAUUAUCAAAGGAGGCUGCAGCCAAUGAGGAAAAUCAAGAUGAGGGGGGAAACCCUUUCCACCUGUCCCCAGACCUAGACUUCUUCUUGCUUCGAAACAAAGAGAAGGAAAAGCAGCGGGUGG